UACAGAGGGUGCAAGCGUUGUUCGGAAUUAUUGGGCGUAAAGCGCGUGUAGGCGGCUUUGCAAGUCGGGUGUGAAAGCCCUCAGCUCAACUGAGGAAGUGCGCCCGAAACUGCAGAGCUUGAGUACCGGAGAGGAUGGCGGAAUUCCCCAAGUAGAGGUGAAAUUCGUAGAUAUGCAGAGGAACACCGGUGGCGAAGGCGGCCAUCUGGACGCUAACUGACGCUGAGACGCGAAAGCGUGGGGAGCAAACAGG
rnacentral:rRNA from 1 species